UACGUAGGGGGCAAGCGUUGUCCGGAUUCAUUGGGCGUAAAGAGCGUGUAGGCGGCCAGGUAGGUCGGUUGUGAAAACUGGAGGCUCAACCUUCAGAGGUCGACCGAAACCAUCUGGCUAGAGUCCGGGAGAGGAGAGUGGAAUUCCUGGUGUAGCGGUGAAAUGCGCAGAUAUCAGGAAGAACACCCGUGGCGAAAGCGGCUCUCUGGAACGGUACUGACGCUGAGGCGCGACAGCGUGGGGAGCAAACAGG
rnacentral:rRNA from 1 species